GGAGCAAAAGAAGAGAGGCAACUACUACUACUUCAAUGGCUAAUCAUCCUUUGUUUCAUAACGGGGAUAGAGGAGGACAAUCAAAGUCACAUGUGGAGGAGGGAAACGUGUAAACCAUGGACAACAUGAUUUGAAACAUACCCACGGGACCUUUAGGGAUUGUUGUGUUACUGCAGGUGACCUAAGGUUGGCUCAUGAAGAGACAAGUGAGAGUGUUGCACACCAGAGAGAUGGGAAGGAGGCGACCUUCUCGUCCUUUUCUCGUUCCCAGUCAGUGUCUUGCUGUGUGAUGGCUCAACAAUGGAGGUUGUCAUAUAAUUGCAUCCAAAUUCAGAUCUUCUCUUCUCAGAAAGUGUGUUGGGGCAUUAUUCGUGUAUUGCUAUUGUUUACCAAAAUAGCAUUAUUAAUUUGUCAGGGUGAAAUAGCAAAGUGAGAUGUACUGUAGUCAAUACAGCUAUCAGGAAUAAAAUCUUGCGUGAUUAUUUGGGUAGCUUCUUCACCACUGAUAUCACAAUACAGUAAGUGCACACCAAAGUACAUAAGCAAAGGCAAUUGAUUUUUAUUUUUAGUGCUCCAAACAAUCCUGAUGCCAGCAAAUGCAUUAGUGAAUCUCUGUGUUAUAAAAUCUAAUUUACUUUGUGUUAUCCACUUUAAAAUGCAAAUAUUUUGAUUGUGCCUAUUUUAUGCAGUGUGUAGAGAGAUUGGCCAACACUAUCCUGUCAAGUAAUCAAAUUUACCAUCACAUCUUUUUAGCAUCUGUAGCAUUUUGUUUCUGCCUCUUGCAACAGUUUCCAAAUUAUAAUCUAAAGAGUGGAGGUUUCAGUUUAAUCUGUUUAUUACUAUACUUCAUUGACCAAGAUGCAAAAAUAUAAGCAGCAUUACAGAUACCACUGAGUACACUGAGGACAUAGCCUCAGAUUUUUUUCUGGGAAUCUCUGGGAUUUAGUAACCUGGCAGUUUACACUGAACGGCUCAAUAUAAAACACUGGGGGAUAUUUUAUGGCAUAAUUCCAUUAUUUAGCAGACUCAGUGUAUAGGCCAUAAAGUUAGUAAAUAAAGGAUUUAUUACAGUAUUACUCUACCAGAAUUUUAUGGCAGUGUGGAGGUAGCUUUGAAACAGCAGUUUUCAAAAAAUAUUUUUUUGUCUUCCUUGCAAGGCCCAGGGUGCAAGUAUGACUAUUUUUACAGUUCUGGAGUUCAUUUGAGCAAAAUGCCCAUAAUAGAAAACAGUGGUGGAAGAAAUAGUCAUAGUUUCUAAAUGCAAAAUGUUUUAUUACAAGAUGACUUUUAAUUUGUAAUUGCAAUUACUUUUAAUUAAUGUAUCUGG